GCUACUUCGAGGUGCACGGCACGCAUGUGCAUACACGUAAACAGGCAAAUGUAACGCUUCUCGAUUCGGUUACGACCAAUACGGACAGAAAUUGGUCCUGCAUAACCCAGUCCGACAUUCUGGAAUGGGACACUAACGCCGGCAAGGCGUGUAGAUGGUAGGCUGCUCAUUCUCUGUGUGAGGGGCUGGAUGCGACGUCGGUGACAUAAUGGGCAUUUGACGGUGCAAUUCUUGACUUCCGAACGGCCGCGUAGAAUCCAAUACUUCUCACGUAUAUGGUUGAAUACGUGCUCAACUCCGGCGUGGAUCAGUUUCCGAU